CUUUAAUUGAUCACUGUGAUAUUGGAGUAUAAUUAUUGUCAAACAAACAUUUAUAUGAUUUUUUAAUAAAAUUCCUUCUCAAAUUGUCAAUUUCAAAAUAUUCCGAUUACUUCAUACAAUCGUCAAUUAGCUAAAACUCUGACUAGACACCUUUUUCCUUAUAGCAUUAACCGUCAGUAUCACUCCCUUAAAAUAAAUUACGGUAAAAAUAAUACUAUUAUUCAAAUACUUUACAAGUUGUCGAUUAAAACUUCGUUGAUAUAACUACUCAUCAACCUGUAAAACGAUAUAGCUUAACUAGAUGAUAAGUAGCAUUUUUCAGAUGAAGUUCUUAACUAUAAGAAUAUAUUUCGUCGCUAAGAAAUUCACCAAAAAAAAAAAAUAAAAAUAAAAAAAAUAGAGACAUUUUCUGAUGACGUUCUUACAUUAAUAAUAAUUUUAAGUAACAACAACAAAUAUGAUACAAUCAAUAAUUCAUUUUCUAAAAUAAAUAUAAGUAUUUAAACCAAAACUAAUAUUUAAUAGAUAUCUGUUUAAUUUUGAAAUUUUCAAUUUUAAAAAACACCAUUUUUGAUGACAAUAUGAUUUUCGUGCGUUGAAGAUGCAACGAGACGCAAUAAAAAAAUUAUAUAUUCUUAUAACUGAGAAUUUCCUCUACAAAAUAUUAGGUAAAG